rnacentral:rRNA from 1 species
ACUACGGGGGGCUGCAGUGAGGAAUAUUGGUCAAUGGACGAGAGUCUGAACCAGCCAAGUAGCGUGCAGGAUGACUGCCCUAUUGUUUGUAAACUUCUUUUAUAUGGGAAUAAAAUGUUCCACGGGUGGGAGUUUGUGUGUACCAUAUGAAUAAGGAUCGGCUAACUCCGUGCCAGCAGCCGCGGUCAUACGGAGGAUCCGAGCGUUAUCCGGAGUUAUUGGGUUUAAAAGGCGCGUAGGUGGAAUGUUAAGUACGUUGUGAAAGUUUGCGGCUAAACCGUAAAAUUGCAGUUGAAACUGGCAGUCUUGAGUACAGGAGAGGGGGGCGGAAUUCGUGGUGUAGCGGUGAAAUGCUUAGAUAUCACGAAGAACUCCGAUUGCGAAGGCAGCUCACUGGACUGCAACUGACACUGAGGCUCGAAAGUGUGGGUAUCAAACAGGAUUAGAUACCCGGGUAGUC